CCUACGGGUCGCACCAGUGGGGAAUAUUGCACAAUGGGCGCAAGCCUGAUGCAGCCAUGCCGCGUGUAUGAAGAAGGCCUUCGGGUUGUAAUGUACUUUCAGCGGGGAGGAAGGUGUUGUGGUUAAUAACCGCAGCAAUUGACGUUACCCGCAGAAGAAGCACCGGCUAACUCCGUGCCAGCAGCCGCGGUAAUACGGAGGGUGCAGGCGUUAAUCGGAAUUACUGGGCGUAAAGCGCACGCAGGCGGUCUGUCAAGUCGGAUGUGAAAUCCCCGGGCUCAACCUGGGAACUGCAUUCGAAACUGGCAGGCUAGAGUCUUGUAGAGGGGGGUAGAAUUCCAGGUGUAGCGGUGAAAUGCGUAGAGAUCUGGAGGAAUACCAAUGGCGAAGGCGGCCCCCUGGACAAAGACUGGCGCUCAGAUGCGAAAGCGUGGGGAGCAAACAGGAUUAGAUACCCCGGUAGUC
rnacentral:rRNA from 1 species